rnacentral:rRNA from 1 species
GUAGGGAAUAUUGGGCAAUGGUCGGAAGACUGACCCAGCCAUGCCGCGUGCAGGAAGACGGCCCUCUGGGUUGUAAACUGCUUUUAUCUGGGAAGAAAAAGGCCAUGCGUGGCAAAUUGCCGGUACCAGAUGAAUAAGCACCGGCUAACUCCGUGCCAGCAGCCGCGGUAAUACGGAGGGUGCGAGCGUUGUCCGGAUUUAUUGGGUUUAAAGGGUGCGUAGGCGGCUGAUGAAGGCAGCGGUGAAAGACUUCGGCUUAACCGGAGCAGUGCCGUUGAUACUGGUUGGCUUGAGUGUCGGAGGGGUACAUGGAAUUGAUGGUGUAGCGGUGAAAUGCAUAGAUACCAUCAGGAACACCGAUAGCGAAGGCAUUGUACUGGCCGACAACUGACGCUGAUGCACGAAAGUGUGGGGAUCGAACAGGAUUAGAAACCCGAGUAGUCC